rnacentral:tRNA from 1 species
GCAAUCGUGGCCGAGUGGUCAAGGCGAUAGAAUUGAAAUCCAUAGGGGUUUCCCCGCGUAGGUUCGAAUCCUACGGGCUGCG